GCCAAGGUGGCAGAGUCCGGCCGAACGCAGCUGCCUGCAGAGCAGCCCACCGCCGGUUCAAAUCCGGCCCUUGGCU
rnacentral:tRNA from 3 species